CUGACUAUCCUGAGACCACCAUGUAGAGCAACCAUGGCCGAUACUCUCGUCUACACUUCUAGCUGAGCCCAGCCUUCGGCUAACCCAGCCCAAGCAGCCCGCAAGGGAGUGAAGGAGCCACCCUGGAAGUGACUCCUCCAGCUCAACCGUCCCAAGCCUCCGCUGUUCAGAUCAAUACGGCUGGCAGGGAGAAGGACCGGCUGCCUCGCAGACGCCUCGCCCUCCCGUCUGCAGCGCCCAGAAGGUUUAUAUGAACACUCAGUGGGGGGAAAAAAACCGGGUGGGAACCAAAGGACUGAGGCAAGAGAAACUGAAAGAAGAUGAUCUGGGCAGGAAAAGCUUUCAAAGGAAACUCCAUUCAAUGAGGAUGCCACAGAAGCCACAAAGGAUGGCAUCUGAUGUGCUCUCGUACGACAUCAAACAUUAUAGAACCGUCCAGGCGAAGAGGUGGAGGCAAUUGGAUAUGCAAAGGUCCUGAGGUGCCAGUGACUAGGACUUGAACAUAUCAUUUUGGGAGAUGCAAUUCGACCUGUAACACGAGAUCCUGUGGAAAGACCCUACGGUUGGAAAAAUCCAUGGCAUGGACUAGGAAUUAUCCCCACUGGCUAGACAGAAUCUUGGAGAAGAUGGUCACGUUCCCACUUGUGUGAAGGCUCUGGGGGUGGGUCAUCUCAAGUGUCCACUCAUAAUGAAGACCAGGGCCUAGAAGACUGGAACUGCGACCCAACACAGGUGCCAGCCCCCCCAAAUCAGCCUUUUCUCAGCGUGUCUUUUCUCAGCCCUUUAUCCCUGCAUGUCCCAGACACCUCACUCUCUACCUCUUGCCAACUCAGGAUUUCUGGCAUUCAGACUCUGCCUUCCACCAUAUCUGCCUCUUACUCACGUCAAAGGCCAAUUCUCUUCUCAUCCUUCUAUGGCCUUUGGUGGUCCGUGGAAAAGCCAAACGAUGCUCAAAAUAUGAGCCCAGACUG